GGUGCCGUGGUUCAGUAGCAGAACAUCUAUUUAGCAUGCAGAAGGUCCCAGGCUCAAUCCCCUGGCAGCUCCA
rnacentral:tRNA from 1 species